UGAGAUAAAGGCUGAGCUCUGAACUUGCCUUGACCUGUCAAGACUCCUUAUUUUACUCCAAAAAUGAAGUCCUUGUCUCAGCUCCUGUGGCUGUUAAUGCUCUGGAUCCCUGGUUCCAGUGGAGAUGUUGUGAUGACCCAGACCCCGAGUUCCCUACCUGUCACCCUGGGGCAGCUGGCUUCCAUCUCCUGCAGGUCUAGUCAGAGUCUCCUGCAUAGUAAUGGAAACACCUAUUUGGACUGGUAUCUGCAGAAGCCUGGCCAGUCUCCACAACCUCUGAUCUAUUUGGUUUCCAAACGAGCAUCUGGGGUCCCAGACAGAUUCAGUGGCAGUGGGUCAGGCACAGAUUUCACACUGACAAUCAGCAGGGUGGAAGCAGAGGAUGCUGGAGUUUAUUACUGUUUUCAAAGUACACAUGUUCCUCCCACAGUGAUACAGCCUUGAACAAAAACCUACCAUCUGGCUGGGUGAGCUGCCCUCAUGGCUGGCUGGUCUGGGGAGCAGCCCAGCAGAUUGUGUGAGUCUGCCUAAGAGGAAGAUAUUGAGGUCAAUAUAAGAGUGACUCUGAGUAGAGGUGAAGAGUUUAUGACAAUACAACAAAAUGCAAUCUAUAAUGACCAGGAGAACAAUUAUCUGAAUAUAAAGACCAGGAGACUUCAGAUAAACCAUAAGGAAUUUUUGAAAAAUUUCUCUCUUUAGUAGUAUUAGAACCAACCAAUGAUCUAUGAAUCGAAUGACUUCUUUGAUUUUAUUCCCUUUGUAAUGAAACAUAAUACUUCUUCAAGCACAUCCAAGCCUACAACUUUAGCCUAUCCUGUGCUUUCUGUUCAGAAGAAGCCCAGUUGUACCUUAUCUAGCUUCUGCUCUGUGUGUUCAUCAAACCCUGCCUAACCAUCAAACCAUUACCAGAGUUUUAUCAUUGACUCUUGGUUGGAUCAACCUGAGAAAGUUACAAAAUUGCACAUAGCCAGUGGUCUCUGCAUUCUGUGUCCUGGGGCUCUGGAUCUAAUUAAGAGAGUGGAUUGGGGUCAAGCCUAGGAAUAUGCUUCAUAUGUCCCAGAAGUCUGAGACUGAGCCCUUGUUCAAUGGGCACAGCAUUCACAGUCCAACCUGUUCAACCUCCAUGACUUCAUAUGAAAACCAUGUCAAGAGUGAAUCUUUCAUAUUUAAAUGUGUCUGUUAUCCACUUCCAUCACUUUCAACAUUUAUCAUUUCCUUGUAAUGGGCCUUUCAAAGGCCUGGAACUAUGACAUUGCACAGGCUGGGACUUGGGGGAUACCCUGACCUCCACCAGUGCCCAGUGUGCAUCUACCUCAGAUUGUGUAAACUGUUUCUGCAUGAUGCUCUCAAAGCCAUUUGGAAAAAAAUAGUAGCAUGACGUUGGAAAUGCUCUGAGCUCAUCAGGGUAUUACUCAUAGGAAAAAAUAUAGAUCUGGAAUGUAUAUUAACAAAUGGAAUAGGCUUAAGUCACUCUUUGGAACGUCUUAACAGGAAUAGUUAAUGCCAAGUUUAUCCACAACUGUAAUAUUCUGUAGAAGAGUAGUCAGAACAAAAUCUCAGCUCACACCUUUGUCCAGGCAUUUUACCAGGGCACUCAAUGUCACCUCUCUGAUUUUCAAUUCUCACUAGGCUCCUCAUUGUAUAAGUCUGUAUGAGUCACCAGAAAAGAAAAAUAAAUUAUCACUGUGCUUCUAGCAGAAUGCUGAUGCUGUGUAAUUGACAAGUCAGUUGUGAUCACUAGUUCCUUUCUAAGAAUUUUACCAAUUGAGUUCUGAGUCUGGAGCUCACUUUGAGGAGUUUCCUGAUGUUGAAUCUAAGAUCACAGCAACAAAAAUUCAUCAUUGUACCUCCAGCACAGUGCUGAUGUACAGUGAUUGACAUUAGCUGUCGUUACUACUUUCCAUCUAAGAAUUUUGCUGAUUGAGUGAUAGGUCUGGAACUCAUUUGGAGGUAUUUUCAAAUACUAUUAUUGAUUCUAAAAUCAUAGCAAAAAAUUUCAUUGUAAUAUGCUGAUGAAAAUGACAAAUUACAUUAAAUAUUUCCAGUCUACAUUUGACAUUUCUAGAAAACUUUUCUAGAAAACAUGUAUACGGGCAAAUACACAUAUUGAAAAUAACUGCGUAACAGUCAUGUAGUUAAAUAUAUACUUGGUUGCUCAUUUUUUCUUCAGAAACCAGAAUAUUCCCAUCAUCUCUAAGCACUUGUUACAAAGGCAACAGUGCAUACAACUCUGUCCAAGGAAUGAUGCUCUGUGUUUUAUCAAGGAAACUAGUGUCCAGGGAAUGUUUUAGAAUGCAUAAUUUAGGAAAAUUUUACUUCAGCAAAUGCAAUCCUUUAAGGAAAGUCAUAGGCAACCCAUCAACAUUUUUCUUAAUUAACAAUCAUUUUUGUUCAUGGAUGCUGAAGGGCAAAUUCAUAAUUAUUUCUGAAUUGAAUCAUCCAAUUCAAAUGACUAUUAAGAGAUACGAAUCGCUCCACGAGAGCAGCUUUAUCCUUUUAAAAGGCAGCACCUCCAAAAAUCUAAGUAGUUCUAACAGAGCACUGACAUUUCAAAUCCCACAUCUGUUAGCAUAGAUACACAGGGGUCCACUGG